rfam:Picea glauca, whole genome shotgun sequence.
GGUUCAAAUGAGGAAGGGCUUAUAGUGGAUACUUGGGAACCUAGACAUUAGGAAGGGCAUGGUAAGUGAUGAAAUGCUUCAGGGAAUUGAAAAUGAGCACAGAUCCAGAGAUUCUGAAUAGGUUAACCUUUUUAAUUGUUGUCAAAUCCAUGGGCAUGCAAAAGACAACCUAGUGAACUGAAACAUAUUAGUAGCCAGAGGAAUAGAAAGAAAAACUGAUUCCCAUAAUAGUGGCAAGUGAAAUGGGAGUAGCCUAAACCGUGAAAAUGGGGUUGUGGGAGAGUACAAUAUAAGAUAUGUGUUGCUAGGAGAAGUGAUUGAGUCCUACACACUAUAUGGUGAGAUUCUAGUAGCCAAAAUAAUCAAUGGUUUACACUCUAAUCCGAGUAGCAUGGGGCAUGUGGAAUAUCAUGUGAAUUGACAAGGAUCACCUUACAAGUAUAAAUAGUCCUGAGUGACUAAUAAAAAAGUAGUAGUAUGAGGGAAAGGUGAAAAGAACCCCCAUCAAGUAGUGAAAUAGAACAUGAAACCUUAAUAUUACAAAGAAGUGGGAGGAAAAUUAGAUCUUUGACCAUGUGCUUGUUGAAUAAUAAGCCAAUGGAUUAUAUGAAAUGGCUUGGUUAAGGGAACCCAUCAAAGCCGUAGUGAGACUGAGCCUUCAUGGGAAUUUGUCACUGCUUAUGGACUUGAACCUGGGUGAUGUAUCCAUGACUAGGCUGAAGCUUGGAUGAAACUAAGUGGAGUUCCAAACUAACUAAUGUUGAAAAAUUAGUGGGUGAGUCAUGGUUAGGGGUGAAAUUCCACGCGAACCUAGAUCUAUCUAUUUCUCCCUAAAAUGCAUUGAGGUGCAAUAGUUAACUAGACCAUUUAGGGGUAAAACAUUGUUUCAGUAUGGGCUAUGAGAGUGGUACAAAAUUGAGGAAAACUAUCAAUACUAGAUUUCCCUAAUAAAAGGGGUAAAUAUUAGAUAAUGAGACGAUGGGGGAUAAGAUUCAUUGUCAUGUGGGGAACGACCUAGAUCACCAGUUAAGCCCCCUAAAUGGCCACUCAAUGAUCAAGGAAGUAUGAGUGCAAAUAUACCCAGGAGGUUUAAUUGUAAGUAGCCAACCUUGAAAUAAUGCAUAAUAUCUCAUUGAUCAAGUACGCUUGUGAUGAAUAUGAAUGGGACAAAGCUAUUUUCCAAAGCUAUGGGAAGUAAACAUACAUUGAUAGGGGAGAAAUUCUCCUCAGAGGGAAGCACUGAAGAGAGUAGGCGUGGAUGAAGUGGAAGUGAGAAUGUCGGCUCGAGUAACAAAAAAAAUGGUGAGAAUCCAAUGCCCUAAAAACCUAAGUGUUCCUCUGCAAGGUUCAUCCACGGAGGGUGAUUUAGGGCCUAAUAUUAGGCUAAAAGACAUAAUUGAUGGAAAAUAGGUGAAUAUUAGUGUACUAUCCCUUGUUUUCUUCAAGGGACGAAGUAGGCUAGGUUAUUCUAAAGAUGGUUAUCGGUUCAAGGACACAAGUGACCCUACUUUUUUCAGGGUAACAAGGGGUAGAAAAAAUUACUUGGGCUAAUGUACGAGUACCAAGCACUACAACGUUGAAGUAACCCAUACCAUACUCUUAGGAAAAUCUCGAAUGACCUUUAACAAAUGAGUACCUAUACCUGAAACUGACAUAGGUAGGUCAAUAGAGAAUACCUAGGGGUGCAAGACAACUCUCUCUAAGGAACUCGACAAAAUAUCCUUGUAGCUUCGAGAGAAGGUGUGCCUCCUCAGGAGGUCGUAGUGACCAAGCCCAGGUGAAUGUUUACCAAAAACACAAGUAUUCAAAAAGUCAUAAGAUCAUGUAUGGGGGUGGAUGCCUAUCCAGUUCCAUAAGGUUAAGGUUCACAAAUUUGGUGACCUAAUGCUGGGAAAUUUGAUGACCAAAUCCUCGUCGAAUGACUGUCGUAACUAUAAUGGUCCUAAGGUAGUGAAAAUCCUUUCUAGGUAAGUUUCGACCUACAUGAAAAUCAUAACAAUCAAGGGACUGUCUUGGAGAGAGGCUGAGUGAAUUAUACAUGUUUUUGAAGAUGCAAAGUACAUGUACAUAGAUAGAAAUAUCUUAUGAAGAUUUACUAUUCCUUGGGAUUGUCUUUGGGUUAUUCUUACACAACUUCGUUGGAGGGCGAAGAAGGCCCCCUUUCAGGGAGUCCUAAGCCACGAGAGAGAUACCACUCUGGAAGAGAUAUAAUUAUAACCUUAUGUCAGGACCUAUGGGUCAAGGGACAAUCUUAGCUAGAUAGUUUCUAUGGGGCACAAUCCUCCCAAAAGGUAACGUAGCUAUGCAAAGAUUUCCUUGGGCUAGAUGGAAAUUGGCCCUUGAGUGCAAAGGCAUAAGGCAGCUUGACUACAAUAAUCACCUGUCGAGUAGGGACGAAAGUUGACCCUAGUGAUCCAACAAUUAUGAGUGGAAGGAUCUUCGGUCAAUGGAUAAAAAUUACUCUAGGGAUAAUAGGUUGAUCUUCCCCAAGAGUUCACAUUGACAAGAAGAUUUGGCACCUCAAUGUUAUCUCUUCACCACCUAGGGUGGCAGUACAUUCCAAUGGUUAGGUUGUUCACCCAUUAAAGCAGUAUGUGAGUUGGCUUCAAAACACCAUGAUACAAUUUGGUCCAUAUCUAGUGCGGGUGUUAGAUCAUUGAGAGGACCUUUACCUAGUAUGAGAACACCAUGAAGGAUGCACCUUUGAUGUACCAAUUAUCGUGCACAUGGUAGACACUAGGUAUCCAAUUACAAAGAAAAUAACUACUAAACGAAUUUAAGUGGGAAUCCCACCCCAAAAUGAGUGCCCUCCUAUUCUUGCUUCCCUAAGAGCCCCUAGUUGUAAACAUGGUUGGGAAAAUGAUGGGUUCUCAGUCUUUGUAGGGGAUGCAGUGACAAAAGUAUUGAGAAUCCAAGAUAAGGUCACGACGAGACGAGUUGUUUAUCAAUAUGAUAGGUUUCAAGUGGAAGUGCAAUGAUGUAUGCAAAUGAGGCAUUCUAAUGGACCGAGAGUGAACCUU